AGUANCUGUUCUUAUCAGUUUAAUAUCUGAUACGUCCCCUACCCGGGGACCAUAUAUUAAAUUGAUUUUUGGAACAGGGAGAUGGAAUAGGGGCUUGCUCCGUCCUCUCCACGCAUCGACCUGGUAUUGCAGUUCCUCCAGGAACGGUGC
rnacentral:snRNA from 1 species